GUUCCUUUUCUCCUCCCCUGCUGGAAGCACACGGGGAUUUUCCCUCCAAUAUUCACUUGUGAGAGCAGAUUGGGGACCUGGAGGUAAAGUUCACAAACAGGCAAGACUCCAGCCUCCAUGACCUCCCCUGAGUGCCAAAGGGAAGGUUCGAACAGCUGCUAAUCAAGGGAGGAGCGGCCAAGAAACCACCGGAGGCGGAGGCGAGAUCACAGGGACCCGAGAAGCUCGGCAAGGCCUCGAGAAGCUCAUCAAGGAGGCCCGCGCCUGAGACCCCGCGGCCCCUCAUCUUGUCAGCAACCCCGCCCUUGGGAGAAGGUGAAUCACAGCUUAAAGAGAAAACAAGCCACGAUCCUGCUGCGGAAGCUUCCCGCGUCGGGAGGCAGUGGGAGGCUUGGGGUCCUGUCCAGCCCUGGCCGGCCAGGUGUGAAGA